UACUAGAAAAACAGGAUUAGACAUCACACUUUAGACAUCGGUUAGAAAAACUACCGAUGUUAAAAGCCUAUUUUACAUCGAAUAUUUAGAAACCGAUGUCUAUUAAAAAUCUAGACAUCACCUAAGACCCAAACCGAUGUGUAAAACCUGUUUUUAAAAAAUUGACCGCGCUCACCCACUACUUUUCCCCCCUUAGCCAAUUUUUUGACAAACAAAAUCCCCCCCUCAGAAUAUUCCCCCGUGUACUGUCCAAAAAACAUAACACCUGUCCAAACAUACAUAUAAAAAUAAAAUAAAAGGACAUAAAAUUAAAUAAACUAACAAAACUAAUAACACUUUUGUCCAAAUUUCAUUCACCCUGUUCUUCCCUCUUUCGAUGGCGACAAACCCUAGUUUCCACUUUCGUCCAAAUCGAGCUCCAUUUGUGCGGAAAAAGGUUGAUUUCUCUUCUUAAUCUUACAUUUGUUCGAUUAAAACACUAAUCCGCUCCUUUAUUUCGUUUUUCAACAGAUCUCGGACUUGAGUUCAAGUUUAGAGGUGUGGGUUUGGUGCGUGCACUGGUCUGUGGACUUGAGUUCGAGUUUGGAGGUGUGGGUUUCUAUCUCAUAGCGAUCGACUAGUCUGUGCUCUGGGUGGUCCUCAUGACCACACAAUUGCGGGACUUGCAGUCUACCUGAAGUAUGCGCAUACUCCAGACCUUAAGGCUUGCCAGAAGCAGGUGUUUUAACCUAUAUAUUUUCGCAUGGACAGAUGGAUAAUUGAAAAAACUUUGUCCAAUAAUUGUAGUUGCAAUGGUUUUGGAAAUAUAAUGAUUUUAGGUUUCGUUUAGAACUGCUGAUUUUGGGAGUAUAAUGAACUCAAUGUGUAGUUGCAAUGACUUAUGAAGUAGUAUUGCUUUUUGGUAUCUUCGACAUUCGAUGUACAAGUACAUGGAUUAUGUAAUUAGUUAGUGGACUGAAUGCAAAUAUGUUUGGUGUA